rnacentral:rRNA from 1 species
GACGAACGCUGGCGGCGUGCUUAACACAUGCAAGUCGAGCGGUAAGGCCCUUUCGGGGGUACACGAGCGGCGAACGGGUGAGUAACACGUGGGUGACCUGCCCUCAGCUCUGGGAUAAGCCUGGGAAACCGGGUCUAAUACCGGAUAUGACUCCAUGACGCAUGUUGUGGGGUGGAAAGCCUUGUGCGGCUGAGGAUGGGCCCGCGGCCUAUCAGCUUGUUGGUGGGGUNAUGGCCUACCAAGGCGACGACGGGUAGCCGGCCUGAGAGGGCGACCGGCCACACUGGGACUGAGACACGGCCCAGACUCCUACGGGAGGCAGCAGUGGGGAAUCUUGCGCAA